rnacentral:rRNA from 1 species
GACGAACGCUGGCGGCGUGCUUAACACAUGCAAGUCGAACGGAAAGGCCCUUCGGGGUACUCGAGUGGCGAACGGGUGAGUAACACGUGGGUGAUCUGCCCUGCACUUUGGGAUAAGCCUGGGAAACUGGGUCUAAUACCGAAUAUGAGCAUCGGCUUCAUGGUCGGUGGGGGAAAGCUUUUGCGGUGUGGGAUGGGCCCGCGGCCUAUCAGCUUGUUGGUGGGGUAAUGGCCUACCAAGGCGACGACGGGUAGCCGGCCUGAGAGGGUGACCGGCCACACUGGGACUGCGAUACGGCCCAGACUCCUACGGGAGGCAGCAGUGGGGAAUAUUGCACAAUGGGCGCAAGCCUGAUGCAGCGACGCCGCGUGAGGGAUGACGGCCUUCGGGUUGUAAACCUCUUUCAGCACAGACGAAGCGCAAGUGACGGUAUGUGCAGAAGAAGGACCGGCCAACUACGUG